UACGAAGGGGGCUAGCGUUGCUCGGAAUCACUGGGCGUAAAGCGCACGUAGGCGGAUUGUUAAGUCAGGGGUGAAAUCCUGGAGCUCAACUCCAGAACUGCCUUUGAUACUGGCAAUCUCGAGUCCGGGAGAGGUGAGUGGAACUCCGAGUGUAGAGGUGAAAUUCGUAGAUAUUCGCAGGAACACCAGUGGCGAAGGCGGCUUACUGGUCCAUAACUGACGCUGAGGUGCGAAAGCGAUGGGGAGCAAACAGGGAUUAAGAUGACCCCAGUAGUCCCAGUACAA
rnacentral:rRNA from 1 species